rnacentral:rRNA from 1 species
UACGUAGGGAGCAAGCGUUGUCCGGAAUUACUGGGCGUAAAGGGUGCGUAGGCGGCUAAGUAAGUCAUAUGUGAAAGGCAGAGGCUCAACCUCUGGAUUGCAUAAGAAACUACUUAGCUUGAGUGUGAGAGAGGCAAGUGGAAUUCCUAGUGUAGCGGUGAAAUGCGUAGAUAUUAGGAAGAACACCAGUGGCGAAGGCGACUUGCUGGAUCAUAACUGACGCUGAGGCACGAAAGCGUGGGGAGCAAACAGG